rnacentral:sRNA from 2 species
GUUACUACCCAAACCAACCCCAAAUGACAAGUCCACAACAACCCGAACAAAAAGGGGUGGACAUCCCCCUCACGGGCUACAAAAUACAUACAAUGAUCACAAUCAUGAGCAAUACUCUCAUGGCCACGGUUCUACCGAGCCUACAUCAGCAAUAAACAAUUACCAAUUCCAUUUUAAACGCAUCACGUAAUAGCGAUUAUAUCCCUCUCCUCAAAUGAUCAGGCAUGUCAUGGCUAAAUAUGAUGCGCUCGCUAUACAUAUAUCCAUACUCUAGAAAUAAGAACGCACUGACAUACUGUACAAAUGCAAUAAACUAUACAUAUCACAAUGCGCACAGUGCACGCUAAUUACGGCGCCUUUGUCUUCGUCAUGCUGAGCCGUUAUUAUCAUUAAAAGAGAUAUCUCGAACGAGCGUUAAGGAGAUCUAUCCCCAAAGAAUAGCCCCUGCAUUUCGCUCACCACCAUCCUUUCAGAUGUUCCACCACAUUCAGAAUCCGCAGUAUGGCUUCCAGAAGCGUAAUCAUUGAACUUCUGAAUAUCCCAAAACCUGAGUUCUGCUGCCACAUCUGAUGGGUCGCGAAGACCUGCGCUGAUCCAAGAUGCGCCGCCACUCCCAAAGAAAGAAAGAAAGAAAGAAAGAAAG